CUGAUUUUGCAUCAAUCCCUGUGAGAAAAUACAUUAAGGGGCCUUAGUUAGCCGAAAAAAUACAAAAAAGUGAAACUCAUCGAGGCGGGGCUCUUCGGUGCGGCGACUCCUCUCGCUCACGUUGCGGUUGGGUGUUUUGCUCCAGUCAACCUGUAGAGAAAGAAAUGGUGAUCACAAUAAUGAAAAAAUUAUGUAUAACAGGAAUCGGAAAGGGUCUUAUCAGAGGUGUUUUGUGAAAUUCCUCGUGGUGGCACCGCCGUUUUGCUCCGAUUUGGCUAUAGAAGUGUUUAAAAUUGAAUUCUGAACAAACGAGAAAAUUUUUACCUCUUUUAGCAGUCGAAAAUGGCUCCAACACGGCGGCAGGUGGCGGCGGCCUCCUUCCCGGUAGCUGGAUCUUCUUCUCCAGCGAGGGGAGUCUGGCGGCUAAGGUUAGGAUUUGGUGUGAAUGGAGUUAUUUAUACUCAUCUCCUUUUGAUAUAGACCGUCCAUCGCGUUUGAUUUAGACCGUCUAAUCGCGAUUAAAUAGGGAGUGAAUCUGGAUCGUUAAUCGCGAUUCAAUCUGGGUUGUUCGAUCGCGUUUAAAUAAGAAACGAAUUUGAGCAGUCCAUCGCAUUUAAAUCUGACCGUCCGAUCGCGUUUGGAGAGGGAACGCAUUCGAGUCGUCCGUGCACGCUGGGGCGAAUCUGUACCGUUCGAUCGCAGGCAUACGGAUCGGUCGUAUGACAUCCUGUGUGGUACCACGUCAGCGUCUAUUGUCACGCGGCGCGUCUUGGUUUGUUGGAGCUGCUGAUUGGGUAUUCCACGUGGCACAACUUCUCUAAAUUGUAUUUUGACCCCUAAUUUUUUAUUUUUCUUUCAAAAAUAUCCCUAUAACCCAAAUUUUCACUCAU
rnacentral:lncRNA from 1 species